rnacentral:piRNA from 1 species
UAAGCUGAAUGACUGUUAUCGAUAAGAAAGC